GAUGUGACUAGGCAGAGAGAGGAAUAUAAGGCAGAAGGAGACAGGAGCUCAGUCUUUUUUCAGUCUGAGGAUCUUUGUAGAGGACGUUCACGACGUCUCUAUUGUGGCACACACAUCAGAUGAGGUCUCUGCAGGGGCAGAUUGAAGAGACAUUUCACCAGAAGCACAGAUGAGACUGGAUGUAUUCAGGGUGAUACAGCCACGGAGUCUCCCUCUUCUGCAUUCAUUUUGCCAUGGGAAACAGGAGGCAUAGUCAGCCUUGAAUGUGCAGUGAAGGUGAUGUGACCGGGCAGAAGUCAUGCUGCAAGCUCUUGGCGGCGGCCGCGGUGGCGGUGGUGUAUGUGAGAACUUCAGGCUCACAUGACAGUCUCAGCAUUACGUAUCCCGGGACAGACAAACUCAACGCAUCACCAGACAGCAGCAAGAGCUUCAGGAGAGAAUAGAAUGGAGGAGCAUCCUUCCGAACUGUCAUCCUGCUCCCCAGGGCUCCACACAGGUUUUUCUUCAUAAUCAUGAGAAACAAGAAUAGCAUCUGUCUUCCGAAAUGGAUCUUGAAAUGGCAGAAGACAAGGUGGGAAAUGGGAUUUUCACCGAGGAAGAAAGGCAGCCAUGGGCACCUGCGGGGACAUUGUGCUUCAAGAUCCUAUUUGUGUGGAACCAGGGAAAGAAGUAAAAUGUAGAUUCCCCUGGCUCGUUGAUAACUUUUUGGCCAAUAGGAGUUGCAGCAGAGGUCAGAGGGCCUUGCCAAAGCAUUGCUUAUAUAUGAUCAUGCUGCUGUACAUUACCCCAUUCUCAUCAGGCUUCCCUCAUCCAAAAGUUUCCCCAAGCACUCCAUGAACUCAGAAAUUAUUUGGGAGAAUCUCAGUGGCCUUAAAGGCGAGUUCUCCAUCACUGCCACCACCACCGCCAUCAAUGUCACUUCAAUCAUCAAUACUACUAUACCAUCAUCAUAAAAAAUCAUUCUUUAAAUCACUGUCAUCAUCAUCGUAAUUAUCAAAAAUGGUCUGUACAUGGACCAUGCUGAGGAUCCUGACUUCAAAGAAUGUGAUAAAAGCACCUACCAGGAAAGAAAUAUUGAAGCUGGCCUGGAUUCCUGGAGAUAUUAUUCAUGCCUCAUAAAGUCACCCUAAAUUUCUUUUGGCCAUCUCAAGAGAUUCAAGAUUGUGUCCAAACAGAAGACUUUUGCACUUCAGGGUGUGGGGAGGUUGGUUUACAGACAGAGUGGAGCUGAAGAUAACCGACGUGGGUGCCUCGUGUCUGAGAUUAUCCUGGCCUUGAAGGCUCAAUCCACAGCUUUUCCUAAUUAACAAAGACUGUGUAGAAAGCUGCCCUUGGGCAUCUGUGGGCAGGAAAGCAUCUGCAUGAGCAGAUCGGGAGAGCUUCUUCUCAUCCAGCUGGGUUCUCUGAGAUGUUCUUGGUUGUACUUUAGCAUCCCAGUGUGAAAGGAACUUGGUUUUGCUUUGGCUCUGGAACUAGGGGACCCUGGGUUUCACCAUUCCUGGCUUUUGGUGGUCCUAGGACCUUAGCAUUCCCUGUCAGCAGGGCUGUUAGAAUCUUUUUUGCUCCCUCUCUGCUCUCUCAAGUUGAUCAGUCUCAAAUAGUUUUUAUAGUAAACAGGAAACAGGCAAUGACAUGCCAUGAAACCUCCCUCUCUCUUAUCAAUCACCUAGUCUCAGGUAUUCUGUUAAAAUUGGCACAAAACAGAUACAGAUACAUUACUGUUAGGACCUAGCAGAAUGUCUGGCUUAAGGUGUGUGUUUUAAGACUAUUUGUUGAGCAAAUAAUUAUCUUUUCCAAGGAGACUCUAUUGUCUUUUCAGGUGGAGGCUAGCACCGUUUGCUCAGUGCUUGCACCUGAUGUGAGCGAGUACGAAAACAGGGCCUGUAAGGAAUACCUGUCUCAGUUUUUGAAAGUAUGUUUUGCUUUUGGUCUUUUUUUUCCUGUCUUUCUCUCUAAGUGUAUUAAUGAGCUUAGACUGUGAGAUGGAGGAGGUCUAGAAGCCAUUCUGGUACCAUUUAAAUGAGGCACAAAAGAAAAUGCUUCUGGGGGUGCAGAAGAAAGGCACCUCUAUGCGGCAGAGAGCAGGUUGGUCCCAGGUGAGAACUUUCCACGCUCUUUAAAGAUGAUUUGCCUCUAGUCCCCGUGGCCUCCCCUUCGUGGGAGGUAAGUGGCUGACUUACUGGAAGCUGGAGAAUUCAGAGGGUUCCGAGGCAGACAAAUGAUCAAUUGCUCAGGGCCCCUUCUUUGCCAAGGAAAACGAGGAGCUCCUGGGCGCCAAGGGAACCAGUGGGGCUGGCAGAGGCUACAUCUAUGCUACUUCUCCCCCUGGUUAACUUGCCAAUUAAACCUUCUCUACCAUAUGGAGUUCAGGUCAUAAGAAAGAAGACCUAUCUCAUUGACCUCACUGAAUCCCAGACACAAAUAGAACUUUGUCAUUAGUCAUGGGCACCUUUCUUUGCUGGGGGCUUCCUGUCAUCUGUCAUAGUGUAGCUGUUUCUGCACUAGCUGUGUCAGGGGACAUGUCUUCCCUUGUCUGAGAGUGGUAGUCACUAACCGUAGGCUGUGAAAUAUCAGGGAAAUACAUUUAACAUACACCUACAUUUGGAACCCUCAAGCCAAAGCCCCUUGUAUUCUUUAAAGAAAAGCUGACGAAUCCUUCCUGGAGAUCGGCUCUUUGCCAUGCUGUGUUGCACGUAGUCCUGGUGAUCAUGAUGUGUGUGCUGGUGAGAGACUCUCCCAAUGGAUGCUUUCCCUGGCUGUCGCUGUUUCUGUGCAGCACAAAGUCAGACUGUGCAUUUAAGCAACAAGGCCCUGCAUGGUCUCUGAGCAGACAAAGUGAUGAUCCAGGACUUUGUUUCCCAAGGGGAAGUGGUCUCUCUAUCUGGUCUGUGCUAGGUACUUGGUGGGGGCAGGGAGGUUCUGUGACACUCAUUGUAUCAAAAUAAUUGACCAGGAUGUACUUACUGUGCUCUGGGAAGAUUCAAGACCGAACAGAAGACCAGAUAAUGUUGUAGGCCCUUUAUGCAGGUUGUCUGAACGUAGUCUUGGGAUUCUCCCUGAUCCUGUGGGAUGCUUUGUGCCCUCUCAUGCCCCACCCCAUUAACCUGGCAAGGGAGUAAGAUGCAGACAAUAGGCAGAAUGCAGUUUUGGAAUGUACUGUACAUAACAAACAGGAGAUUCAGGCAUGCUCUGGCUCAGUGGUCUACCUCAGGGCACAGGUCUGGGUUUGGAGGUGGCUUUGCUUCUGGCCUGCAAUUCCAGCCAGUGUUGAAGCAAGCAGGGCCACCCCAGCCUCCUCUUCUCCCAGGAGAGCAGUCCUCAACUAAGGAGCACCAGACUCAAUUUCGGUGCCCUCCCUUUACCCCUUUUCUGACUCAGUGGGGGCGGGUUGGAACCUGGAGGUCUGAGUUUGAGUGAGCACAGGAACUGCUGCCGGUCAGGGACCUCUGAGAGGCUCCACUCUGGAAGCAAGUUCAGCUCAACACUGACAAAAGACCAGGCUUCCCGGAGAGCGAGGAGUCCUUCCAGCUGGUCUCCUUACUAAACAGGCUGCUGAGCAAGGACAUACCAGACAACCCCCUUCUGAUGUAUUAUCACCAAGCCUUAUGCAAAGCAAUUUCAUUCCUUUAUAUGACAUGAAAGAGGGUCCUUGUGUCCUCGCAGCCAUUGCUAGAAACUAGCUUUGCUUUGACUUUUACUGCCCACAAGGCAAGUGUCUUAGGGAGUCCUGCCGCUCAGGUGCCUGACAGGGCAAAUGGUCACCGUGUUCUCAAAGCUGCCAAGUGUGUAGUAUCUGGGCCCCCUGUCUACCACUAUUCUAAUGCCAGUGUUGGAUGGUGGCACUUUAUGAGAUGACAAUGAAGGUCAGUGCACAGGAAAUCUAGCACACGUGUGUGUGUGUGUGUGUGUGUGUGUGUGUGUGUGUGUGUACUUCUAUUUCCACAGCUUGGAGGAAACUCUCUAAUGUGAUUGCCAUGAAUGGCCACUGCUGGAGAGGAACUGUGGAGGGGUGGAGGGUGUUGCUAAGGACACAGGCUUGAUUUGCCUAAAUCUCCUUUAUAAAAGGUCACAGUGAAAGUCUUGGAAAGGGAAAGGCUAUGUUGAAUCUCGAGCCCGGGGCCAGACCUAUGGUUCAGACACCGCUCUGAACAGUCGUCACACCAUUUUCAAACACAGAGUUUUGUCAGUGGUCCUUCCGGGCCAGGCUGGCUCUGCAUCUUCCCUCAGCUUUGAACAAGACUGUCAGAUAAGGUACAGACACCGCUUCCAGCUGUAAACCUGAGCAGUCAUGCAGGGCUUCCAAUACUUUGGGCAAGACUUUAGGUCUGAAGUCACGUGGCCCUCAGGAAAAAAGGGGGGUGGGGCUUAGAGCGGCAUCCGGGACUUGGCUUCAUCCAAGCCAUUGAGCCGCAACUCCCGGCUCUAUCCCAGCUCGGAGCUCGGAGCGCAUGCCACAGCCUUCCAGACAUGCUGCUACGGUGUCAUUGGUUCCCUUAUAAUUGCAGGGCUGGACAAUGAUGGGCUGCCUCCCGAUGGCCACGACGGACACUUUGCUCAGCUUUUUACGAACUCUGCGGAAGAGCUAAGAGGCCUUUGAGAUCCCAUUGCCCGGGAAGGGGGAAAACACAGGCCUGAGGAUGGGUCCCAUUGCCGACAGUCCCCUCCUCUAGUUCGGUUUCCUCCGGCACCUCUUUCCAUUCCACCGUAGUGAAUUCCACUUUGAAAUGGGUUUUAAAGAGUCAGCCUUUUAUAAGUCAGAAAGUGGCCUUGGGCUUUUGUUUGCCCACAUGCUCCCGGGCCGCGGGGCUCCACUUUGGAUCCACAGUAUGGAGUGAAGCAGGCUGGGUCCCCGCAUUGAGCAGAGAACAGACAGGCCCUGGCUCUGGCAAGAAUUCCAGGAUUCCUGUGGCAGUCUGGAAGGUGACCUUCUGCAUUCCCUACAUUCUCUACUGGAGUUGGGUUGCACACUUGAGACUUGCCUCGCAAAAAAAAAUUUCCCCUGGGCAUUUUCCACGCAGGGAAGGCAAACGCCAGGACCCGUGCUUGGAGCUCCCUGCGUGUGUGGGGGGAUGUAAAGGGGU
ensembl:lncRNA